rnacentral:tRNA from 1 species
GGUGAGGUGGGUGAAUGGCUGAAACCAUCCCGCUUUUCCAAAGCGGGACUAAACCGGCAUACUCUGAAAGGGGUAUCGCGGGUUCGAGCACGAAGUACACAGCCGAAGGGGAGUAAUCCCGCCGUCACCGCCA